CUCUUUCGAUCUGCUAGGGGGACUGCCGGAGUAGAAACGAGUAGGAGAGGGCCCAGGAGGUGGGGAUCGAAACGGUGGGGGACCGACGGCUGCUUCAAACUCCCCCCUUUUGUGCCAUGAUACACUGUGUAUACCCUGUUUCCAUAGUGCAUGCUCCUGCGUCCAUAGCUACGUGACACACAGACUAUUCUACGCAUAUGCGAAAACAGAAUUUUGAAUAUACGAGAAGGCACGCUUAUUAUGAUUGAGAAUCACAGAAAUGUAGUGAUUUGAUUUUCAUACAUGUAGCAGGUGAAAAAAAAUUUCUUAAAUUUGAGAAAAAUAAAUGAAGUUUCUACGUUCCGUGUAAAGCCAAGUAAGUUUCAAGUUUUCUCCUUCCAAUAUGCAAAUUAAGAAGUAAAGUUGAAACGAUGAUUUAAAAUUUAAAGCGUCUUGGGAUUGCCAUUACCCACUAUGUACCGUUACUCGCUUGCUCGUAUCUUCUUUUCUCUUCUGGUUCUGGUCUCUAUUGUUCGCCUCGAAUAUCGUAAUGAAAGUAAAUCGGUUAAAUUCGAUCGUUAAAUUCAAUUGAACACCGAGGUUGACAAGAGAAUCAUACGUAGUAUUUGCACGAGCAGUGUUUGUGCUCUGAAUGGUAAUAAUACCGUUCUUAGAAAAUGACUAUAAUAUAUCAAAAAUUAAUGAACACUUUAGAGGAGAAAAUCAAAGGAAGGUUUUGCUUAUCAAUCUGUUAUAUUUCUUAUUACAUGCAAACAUAUAUGUAAUUCUAAUUUAAGACAUAAGUGGGCCAAGGUAAACGACAUUUAAUACAUGACAUUUCAUAUUUGUAAACACAACAAAAAAUUGAGACUUUACUACUCCAAAGUAUUGGACAAACAUUUCCAUUUAUUUUGUGUAUAGUAUUGCACACUGCGAUAUUAGAAAGUAACAUGUACUAAAUAUUGAAUUUUUGUGAUACAUAUUUGUUAGUACUAUUAGAAGAUACUUGCAAAUUGUAACUGUUAAUUAAAGGUUUAUUCACUUUUCAAGCAAGACAACGGAAUCAGUUGUUUGAUCAUUAUAACGCUUCAAAUAAAUAAUAAGAAAUGAUAAGUGGUGAAACUUGAUUGUUAGAUUUAAUAGAGACUAAGAAUUAAAUUG